UCUCCUCUUUUGGCAGGGACUGGGUAUGCAUUCCCACUCCCUGCUGUGUGUGUGGAGGCAAAGGGAGAGGGCUCUGGCACCAAAGACAUGACACCUUCGGUGCUGGCAGCUUGCCAUCCUCCAGUUCUAUCCUCACGUGCCAGAAGACAG